rnacentral:rRNA from 1 species
GAUGAACGCUGGCGGCGUGCCUAAUACAUGCAAGUCGAGCGAACAGAUAAGGAGCUUGCUCCUUUGACGUUAGCGGCGGACGGGUGAGUAACACGUGGAUAACCUACCUAUAAGACUGGGAUAACUUCGGGAAACCGGAGCUAAUACCGGAUAACAUAUUGAACCGCAUGGUUCAAUAGUGAAAGGCGGCUUUGCUGUCACUUAUAGAUGGAUCCGCGCCGUAUUAGCUAGUUGGUAAGGUAACGGCUUACCAAGGCAACGAUACGUAGCCGACCUGAGAGGGUGAUCGGCCACACUGGAACUGAGACACGGUCCAGACUCCUGCGGGAGGCAGCAGUAGGGAAUCUUCCGCAAUGGGCGAAAGCCUGACGGAGCAACGCCGCGUGAGUGAUGAAGGUCUUCGGAUCGUAAAACUCUGUUAUCAGGGAAGAACAAAUGUGUAAGUAACUGUGCACAUCUUGACGGUACCUGAUCAGAAAGCCACGGCUAACUACGUG